AUGUGUUAUGUCACCAAGAAAAGCGGGUCUCGUGGUGGUGGCAGCAGGCGCGCCCUCGACGUGCAGAACGACGCCGGCGAGUUCGUGGACCUGUACGUGCCGCGGAAAUGCUCCGCCAGCAACCGCAUCAUCGGCGCCAAGGACCACGCGUCCAUCCAGAUGAACGUGGCCGAGGUUGAUAAGGUGACGGGCAGGUUCAACAGCCAGUUCAAAACCUACGCUAUCUGUGGGGCCAUUCGCAGGAUGGGUGAGUCCGAUGACUCCAUCCUCCGACUGGCCAAGGCCGAUGGCAUCGUUUCCAAGAACUUCUGACUGGAGAUCACGGAUGUGGGAUGUUUGUCAUAAAUAAAUAGUAAAAC